GGGACACGUGGUAUCCUGUCUGAAUAUGGGGGGACCAUCCUCCAAGGCUAAAUACUCCUGACUGACCGAUAGUGAACCAGUACCGUGAGGGAAAGGCGAAAAGAACCCCGGCGAGGGGAGUGAAAAAGAACCUGAAACCGUGUACGUACAAGCAGUGGGAGCACCUUCGGGUGUGACUGCGUACCUUUUGUAUAAUGGGUCAGCGACUUAUAUUCUGUAGCAAGGUUAACCGUAUAGGGGAGCCGCAGGGAAACCGAGUCUUAACUGGGCGUUAAGUUGCAGGGUAUAGACCCGAAACCCGGUGAUCUAGCCAUGGGCAGGUUGAAGGUUGGGUAACACUAACUGGAGGACCGAACCGACUAAUGUUGAAAAAUUAGCGGAUGACUUGUGGCUGGGGGUGAAAGGCCAAUCAAACCGGGAGAUAGCUGGUUCUCCC
rnacentral:rRNA from 1 species